GCCAGGCAUGGUGGCACAUGUCUGUAGUCCCAGCUACUCGGGAGGCUGAGGUGGGAGUAUCGCUUGAGCCCGGGAGUUCAAGGCUGCAGUGAGCCGUGAUAGCAUCACUGCACACUAGCCUGGACAACAGAGUGAGACCCUGUCUCUA
rnacentral:SRP_RNA from 1 species